UCUAAUCCCCUAGAUCACCUAUAACGAUGAGCUAUCGGCCGUCCGUCAGCUUCAAAAAUCGAAAUUGAUUUUCACCCAUCAAGCCAACAGGUGUCUGCAUUCAAACGCCACUCAAAUCCGCGUACAUACUUUCCGCGUCUGACACACACACACACACACACAUACUCGGCACCAUAAACUCUUCACCUGCGUACAUAGCGCCGCAGAAGUGGGACGAUUCGAGGUGUCUUUGGCGGAACGCGGAAUCGCGCGAUACACAUAAUUGCUGCGCUGCUCGUACUUAAGGCAAUUAACGAGCUGUGCGCACAGUGGGGGUAAAAAGUCGUUUCGUCGAAUUGCGACGAGGACUACGUGCAAUUGGCUGUAUACUGUAUUAGAAACGGGGAGUUUAUCGACGGAAACGAUUGAGGACUUUUUGGCUUUUUGGCGAUGAAAAACGGAGCGUCAAGAUCGAAUCGAUUAGAAAUAUUGCUUAUGUGAAGACCGAAGAAAUUUUACGACUGUAUCAUUAGUUUGCCAAAUCGAUGCAAACGAAUGUUUCGUUAAUGAAUUCGCAAUUUCAAAACCAACCCGGUGCAGGCACAUAACGAAGAUCUAGGGUAAGCUCCGCAUAGGAAUAGUCUAGUUAUAAGCCACCGAGGCGACACAGCAGAUUUACGCGUAUACCCGUUCGCCAAUUUUUCGACUCGCCAUAAUGAAGCGAGGAUGCCAUAUACUCGUUAUCGCGAUUUGAUACCGCAGCGCACACUUUCUAAUCAGCGCGUAUUACUCUGUUGAAGUCUCACUGCAGCUGUACUGUUAUGUAUCGUAGCUUAACGGCUCGGAUCGUAAGGUAGUUUCUGACAAGUGACUACACUCCGAUAGGCACAGCUCAUAUGCGAGUAUAUUACGCGGAUAAUAUCCCCCUCGACUGUUCCACGUAGUUUCAUGAAUAAGCUCGAUUAUGCGAGGGAUCUCGUUAUCCGCGGCGUUUUAAUAAUCCAUUAAUUGAGCGGCUUAAGCAGACACUUUGCUAUCAUCCUUUUCCAUAAGUGAUGAGUUGCAUCGAUGUACACGUCGCUACAGGAUGACAUAAAUAUUCGAGUAUACCUAGAGCAAAGCUCAGUAUAUAGUGUACCUAUAUCUUCAAAGGUCGCGGAAACAAUGGCUUUACCGCUAUAUUAGCCUCGAGUGAAAAUUCGCGCCUUUUUCAGCGAGUCGCGCUAAAGUUCGCGCUUUACGAUUCCACGACGAGUCAAAAGUACUCACACAGACACAAGGCGUUACAUAUGCAUAUACGCGUGCAAGUGGGAAGGCGGGCAGGUUAACGGAAGGCAUUGUGCGCUCGUUAUAAUUAAUCGUAAUUGAGCGUCGAGCUGUGAGCGCAUUGUUAGACGUCGUCCGGCGCUAAUUGUCGGGACCCAGUUCACACUGCUUUCGCGCCAAGGAGACCCAUUGUCGCGCGUGUCUGACUAUAUAGACUAGUAUGUAUACGCGUGUAUAAUGUACAUAUAUGAGGGAUAUCGCGAGCUUCGACGUUUGACACGAAAAAGUGGCGCUUUCUACGAGUAAUUGGCCUGUGUGUAUUAUGCGCCACGCGGCUACUGUAUGGAGGAUCUAUCCGAGAUCGAGGAGAUUGCGAAGAGGUAAACACUGCGCUCGAGCGAGGGAAUAUACUUGGUUUAUGGACGUAUUGGCGAAGAGACGUCGGGGACGUUGAGGGAUUUACGUUGGAUUUUCGCGAGAGUUGCGCACACAUGGUGUUGGAGUGAUAUUUUGUAGUAUAGGUUUUUUCUCGGAGAUGCGGAGAAGAAAGAAGGUGAAUAUAAAUAGAGCACCUAUAUUGAUAAUUAGUAGCCUUGAUGAUGAAAUUAAUCAAGAGGUAAAUGUCAAAUUCUGAAUUUUCAAGCGUACCGAGAAAAAAGUUAAUCUCGAGGAAACAAUAAAGUUUGCUGAUCAUGAGUACACUUGGAAUCACAGCAAUCCGCUUUGUUAAAGAGUCAGUGUGAUUUCAAUUGUAUGAUUUUUAAAUAAUUCUCUGGUAAGGAAACUUUUUUCUGCGGUAUAAAUACACGUUUAAUUUACACUCACCAGAGCUGUGUGCGAAGGAUUCUUGCGGACUAUUAGUUAAAACGUUCAAAAUGAAUCGAUACGUGUUUGCUACGUUUUUAGUUUUUACGAUUUUAUUUCAAAAUUACUACUGCGCUGAAGAAGUCGAACCGCAGGUAAGAGUUAUAAUAAAAGUAUAAUGUUUUCUGUAUAACAAUAUUUACAAUAUCGUAUUGAACAGAGUAUGAUUGAAGUAUGCAGAAUUGCCGUUUUAACUUGCUAAUGAGAUAAGUGAUAUAGCGUUUUUCAAAUUAACUUGAUUGGUUCGAGAAAGUGUAAUGAUUCCAAUUUUAAAUAUUUGAACAACUGGAUUUGAAAAAUGAAAAAACGGAAUAAAUCCAUCAAUAAAUCCAUUGUUAGAUUUAACAAUAAUUUAACCAAUUGUUGACAUGUUUGAAUGAGACUAGUUAAUUAUUUACUUAUGCUUUCAGGUUAAAAUUAAAAGAGUACAAACCAAUUUUGUAAAUCCAAUUUAUGUUAAUCCAUUGUCUUUCGAUCACAACAUCACAAAAGAGAAUGCAACCUACAAUAACUUAGGACUGCAUUGGGAAGUUAAAAGAGAUCUUCCAACAAACCUUAGACUCAUAAGUACGAUAUUUACAACCGAUGCAAACGGUCAGAAUUCCCAAUUAAUUAUGAUUGAUAAUACACCUGUUUGCGUGGAAAAUAAUCGUCGCCAACUGUUGCCAAAGAUAAUAGUCGUUGACUCCUCAAAACUAGGUGGCAGAUGCAUCAAAAAGGGAAUUUAUGAGACGCCAGACAUGGGUCAAUUACGAUUUGAACAUUUGAUAAAAGACCUUGCGAGCAAAAGAAAACACUACAAAGUUAUUUAUACAUUUGGAUCGCCUUUUGUUCCUAUAAUGAUAACAACGUUCUAUUCCGAAUGGGGCUAUUUAAAUAAUGAGGACUAAUUAUAUAGGUUUUUAUUUAUUUUUGGUGAAGACUUAUAUCAGCUGUAUACAAAUAAAUUUUACUUAAAUAAACUAAAAACAAUUUCUGCUUUAUUAUAUUUCAAUGGAACGAACUUACGGAAAAACUUUUUUGGCAAACACGAAAUUUGCAUAUCGCACUCUUGUAACGACAAUAAGGCUCCUUGUAACAGCGUUGAUGUGAUUUAAAGCGUGUAAUUAAAAUUUUUAAUGUUUUCUUUAAUCAAUGAAAAGUUUUCCACGGUAUAUAAGAACGAAAAUCAUCAAUGAUCGACAAAGUACAGAAAGAGUUUGGAAGCGGCAAUCGUUCAGUUCGAAGUUGAAAAUGAGCCGAUUCUUAGUUGCUGCGUUCUUCGUUAUCGCGUUUUUAUUCGAAAGUUACAACUGUCAUGAAGAUGUCGAAGCGCAGGUUAGCUAUAUUGAAGAAUAGAUUUAUGUUAAUCAAUUGUCUUUCGAAUUCAAUAUCACAAAAGAGAAUGCAACCUAUAAUAACUUAGGAGUGGAUUGGGAAGUUAGGAGGGAUCUUCCAAACAACCUCAGACUCUUUAGUGCGAUAUAUGCAACCGAUGAGAAUGGCCAGAAUUCCAAGCUGCUCAAGAUUGAUGUAACGCCCAUUUGUGAAGAAAGCGACUGACGCGAAUUGUUAGCAAAAUUAUUAGUAGUUGACUCCUCGAAAUUGGGUGGCAGAUGCUUUAAAAAG